GACGAACGCUGGCGGCGUGCUUAACACAUGCGAGUCGAACGGUGAACCUCUUCGGAGGGGAUCAGUGGCGAACGGGUGAGUAACACGUGGGCAACCUGCCCCCGGCUCUGGGAUAACUCCAAGAAAUUGGGGCUAAUACCGGAUGUUCACCGCUUCCCGCAUGGGUGGUGGUGGAAAGGGUUUCCGGCUGGGGAUGGGCCCGCGGCCUAUCAGCUUGUUGGUGGGGUAGUGGCCUACCAAGGCGACGACGGGUAGCCGGCCUGAGAGGGUGACCGGCCACACGGGGACGGAGACAGGGCCCAGACUCAAACGGGAGGAAGCAGGGGGGAAUAUGGCGAAGGGGGCGGAAGCGGGAGGCAGCGGCGCGGGGAGGGGGAUGACGGCUUUCGGGUUGUAAACCUAUUUCAGCGGAGACGAGGCGGAAGUGACGGUACAGAAGAAAGAAGCCCCGGCAAACUACGUG
rnacentral:rRNA from 1 species